CUCUCUUUCAGUUCCCCUCAGAAACAGUUUACCCUUCAAUGCUUAGGUCAUGUCUCCCUCCCAGCCCCCCCGGGUAUAAAACCCAGGGAGGUCUGAUUUCCGGGUUCCUCAGCUGUAUUGAAGCUGUGGCACCAGAGACAAGAUUCCAUUAUGCCCUGGAAGCUUUCAUGAACCUUGAGGAAGGAGCUCACAAUGAACCCCUGGCUUCUGUUUUCUCUUGCUGCCAUCUGAAGAGCAAAUGGACUAAGUACUCUGGACCCAAUCCUAGAUAUAAAGAAGAUAAUCCUCCCUUUCCUUUGAACAUAACUAAUGAACAUCAGUGUGUAAACUAUUCAGAGAAUUCAAAGAUCCAGAAUUCUUCAAUCGCUUCUCGGCCUUUUGGCUAAGAUCAAGUGCAGAAUUCUUCAUCCUGCAAAUUGUCCUUCAGACCUUGUAAGAAAUGGAAAAGAGCUUUUUCAGGGAGAUGGAAAACAUGGUCAGAAAGUUGGAAACACAUAAAUAAUGGAAGAGAACUAAAGAAGGAAUAAGUGAAGGUGCACCCAUUGUAACAAAUACUCCACUGUGGGUGAUGCAGGAUGCCAUAUUUGGAGAGUCCAUGCAGCAUGAGGAAAAUCUGUGUACCUUCUGCUCAGUUUUGCUGCAAACAUAAAAUUACUGUAAAAAUAAAUAUUUUCUUAAAAUGAAGCUAAUAGUACUUAUUCUUUACAUGGCUGUAAGAAUUAGAACUAACAGAAAAUAUGUCAAGCUGACACAUCAUGGCUGCUUUCUAAGUAUGGG
rnacentral:lncRNA from 1 species